rnacentral:rRNA from 1 species
AGAGUGAACGCUGGCGGUAGGCCUAACACAUGCAAGUCGAACGGCAGCACAGUAAGAGCUUGCUCUUAUGGGUGGCGAGUGGCGGACGGGUGAGGAAUACAUCGGAAUCUACCUUUUCGUGGGGGAUAACGUAGGGAAACUUACGCUAAUACCGCAUAAGACCUUCGGGUGAAAGCCGGGGACCUUCGGGCCUGGCGCGGAUAGAUGAGCCGAUGUCGGAUUAGCUUGUUGGGACGGGUAAAACGCCCACCAAGGCGACGAUCCGUAGCUGGUCUGAGAGGAUGAUCAGCCACACGUGGAACUGAGACACGGUACCAGACCUCCGUACGGGAGCAGCGAGGUGGGAAUAGUUGGAACAAGUCGGGACGACGAACGCCGUAGACUCC